rnacentral:tRNA from 1 species
UCCCUGGUGUCUCAGAUGGUAAAGAAUCUGCCUGCAAUGCGGGAGACCUGGGUUCAAUCCCUGGUUUGGGAA